rnacentral:ncRNA from 2 species
AGCGACCACUAGGGGAGUCAGUAGGCUGACUGAGACGACGGAGACGUGCGGACCCUUUGAACCUGAUUAAGUUUGGACUUACGGAGGGAAGUGGCGUGACAGAUCC